rnacentral:misc_RNA from 1 species
UUUCCGUAGGUGAACCUGCGGAAGGAUCAUUAUCGAAAUACUUAUUUAGCGUUCCGUGCUAUCCCAUUGUUUUAUUUACCCUGUUGCUUCCACUGGAUGAGUUUCCAUACCUUGUGUUUGAGAAACUUUGGCUUGUGUAAGAUUCAUUCACGGCCAGCCAGUGAGAAGACCAUUUACAAAACCCUGUUAAGAACCAAUUGUCUGAAUAUUUUACUCCAAUGAAAUAAAACUUUCAACAACGGAUCUCUAGGCUCUUGCAACGAUGAAGAACGCAGC